rnacentral:rRNA from 1 species
CAGCACGGGAGCAAUCCUGGUGGCGAGUGGCGAACGGGUGAGUAAUACAUCGGAACGUGCCCAGUAGUGGGGGAUAGCCCGGCGAAAGCCGGAUUAAUACCGCAUACGACCUACGGGUGAAAGCGGGGGAUCGCAAGACCUCGCGCUAUUGGAGCGGCCGAUGUCAGAUUAGGUAGUUGGUGAGGUAAAGGCUCACCAAGCCUUCGAUCUGUAGCUGGUCUGAGAGGACGACCAGCCACACUGGGACUGAGACACGGCCCAGACUCC